UACGUAGGGGGCUAGCGUUGUCCGGAUUUAUUGGGCGUAAAGAGCGUGUAGGCGGCCAGGUAGGUCUGGUGUGAAAACUCGAGGCUUAACCUCGAGAUGUCAUCGGAAACCAUCUGGCUAGAGUCCGGAAGAGGAGAGUGGAAUUCCUGGUGUAGCGGUGAAAUGCGCAGAUAUCAGGAAGAACACCAAUGGCGAAAGCAGCUCUCUGGGGACGGUACUGACGCUGAGACGCGAAAGCGUGGGGAGCGAACAGG
rnacentral:rRNA from 1 species